rnacentral:rRNA from 1 species
GUAGGUGGCAAGCGUUGUCCGGAAUUAUUGGGCGUAAAGCGCGCGCAGGCGGUUCUUUAAGUCUGAUGUGAAAGCCCACGGCUCAACCGUGGAGGGUCAUUGGAAACUGGAGAACUUGAGUACAGAAGAGGAAAGCGGAGUUCCACGUGUAGCGGUGAAAUGCGUAGAGAUGUGGAGGAACACCAGUGGCGAAGGCGGCUUUCUGGUCUGUAACUGACGCUGAGGCGCGAAAGCGUGGGGAGCAAACAGGGAUUAGAUACCCUGGUAGCCCACGCCGUAAACGAUGAGUGCUAAGGGUUAGGGGGUUUCCCGCCCCUUAGUGCUGCAGCUAACGCAUUAAGCACUCCGCCUGGGGAUACGGCCGCAAGGCUG